rnacentral:misc_RNA from 1 species
GAUUAAGAACGUAGCGAAAUGCGAUAAGUAAUGUGAAUUGCAGAAUUCAGUGAAUCAUCGAAUCUUUGAACGCACAUUGCGCCCCUUGGUAUUCCGAGGGGCAUGCCUAUUCGAGCGUCAUUAUCACCCCUCAAGCCUAGCUUGGUGUUGAGGCCUGCUGUCAAGGCAGCCUCUAAAAUCAGUGGCAGUGCUGUCAGGCUCUAAGCGUAGUAAAUCUAAUCGCUAUAGACACCUGGUGGACACUCGCCAGAACCCCCCCAUUUUUUAAUGAUUGACCUCGGAUUAGGUAGGGAUACCCGCUGAACUUAAGCAUAUCAAUAAGCGGAGGA